rnacentral:rRNA from 1 species
UACGUAGGGGGCUAGCGUUGUUCGGAUUUACUGGGCGUAAAGGGCGCGUAGGCGGUCAGCACAAGUCAGUUGUGAAAUCUCCGGGCUUAACUCGGAAAGGUCAACUGAUACUGUGCGACUAGAGUGCAGAAGGGGCAACUGGAAUUCUCGGUGUAGCGGUGAAAUGCGUAGAUAUCGAGAGGAACACCUGCGGCGAAGGCGGGUUGCUGGGCUGACACUGACGCUGAAGCGCGAAAGCUAGGGGAGCGAACGGG